AAACUUUAAUAUAUUCUAAGUCAAAUUUUGGUAUUCUCAUAUAUCAAAUUUUAUAUACAUUAUGGUAGAAAUAUUCAAUAGAAGAAUUGAAUGGGGCAUUAAGCAAAAAAAUUUAAUAAAAACUACUAACAUUUAAGAAAUUUCAUUGGGUUCAAUUUACCGCACUGUUAGAGCUGUAGCUCUGCUCUUGUCAGCUGAGCCACAUGAGUUACUUGUUUCGUCUGUUCGUGAAUAUUAAGAAUUUUAGGGUCUUUACUUGUAGACUCGUUUACUUCACUUACCCAUACUCUCACUCAGCAUGCAAAAGAGGUUCUUUCAAUUUGGGUCCUAGAUUAGUUUGCUGGUACUGGAGAGAGCUUGUGUCUAAAGAUGUUUUUUAAUUUCUUUUAAUAUGCAGGGCAGAUGAACAUUUGGUUUAAGGCAAUUUAUAUUCCAUUAUUUUCAGAAUUCUGGUUUAUCUUCAUGAGAAGUCUUUCAUAUUAGCUGGUUGCUCAGUGCUAUCAAUAGCAUAAUUGUUAUAUCCACAAUGAGUGGACUGCUUAAAAUAAACCAUUGCAGUUGCCAAAUCCUAUCUGCAAACUUGUAUGAGACCACCAUGAGUACGUCCUCUGCAAAGUUUCUGUUUCUUUGCAAGUUCAGCAUUUUUAUCAAACAAAAAUUUUCACUUGUAAUGAUAAAAAGUGAAUCUUGUGGGCUGUUAGAUAGCAUAUAAGAUUGAAUUGGAUUGGGAUUUAGCGUUUGAUUAUUCAAAUUUCAAAACCAUGUCUUAGUAUCAAUGAUUUCUAUAUUGCCUAUAGUUUCUUUUUAUUUAUGGCAAUCUUGUGGGGAUGGAGUUUGUCUUUUUCUAUCUCACUUCGUUCAGUACUAUCAACUUUUUUGCUAGGUUAUCUGGAGAUGGUUCUCUCUUUAUACCAGGGUACAAUGUGAGGGCUGGUCUACGUGAAAGUGAGGAUUGCAGGAGGUCCUACUUUGCGAAGUUGACAUCUUUUGAUUGCUGACAUGGAGGACGAGAAUGGCCUUGAGCUUAGCCUUGGUCUAGGUUGCGGAGGGUCAUCUGCAAAAUCCAAAGGUAAAAAUGGCUGCUCUUCAGAUGCUAGGACAGAAGAAGGUGAUAGAGGCAACAAAUUGGUAGAUGAUUUCAAAAGCUUUCUUCAUGCUGGUACCCAGAAGCAGGAUUCAAGUACUGGACCUCAAAUAAGUGAUUCAGUGAAACCUCAAGAGAACUUCUAUAAUGACCUGUCCAAGGCCAAUGCUAAUGCAGAUGCUUCAAUAAACUUGAAUAAUAGGGGGCUUUGGGUUUUGAGCAGCAAAAUACCUGCUGAAAUUGAAGAAGAAAAAAGGCCAGAGGCAGGUAAAAAACGUAAACCAUUAUUUGAUGAGAUAAAUAAUCAUAGGAAGCAUGAGAGAGAUGCUCAUCAUUUUGAUGUACAUGACAAGAAAGCGUCACAUAUUUCCAUAACAACAGAAGAUGGCUCUACUGCUGAAAAUGAAGAUGUUGCUGAGUCUGACAUAGAGGGUUCAACUUCUAAAUUGGUCUCUCAUCAUGAUGAUGGCUCCAAGCGUUUUAUUGGAGCUGGUGGUCGUGAGGGUCCAAAGCAGGUUCAUGGGUUUUUUGAUUCUAGUGUUGUAGACUUAAAAGGGCAAAAGAGGCCUAAUGGUUCAUCAGAAAAUGAAAUUAAGCAUGGGAACUUGAAUUAUGGGGUUCCAUUCUCUGUUCGAUCUGUAAAUAUCGCGAAUAUGCCAUACUCGUUUCCUGUAAAAGAAUCUAACUCUAUCGGUGUUCCCAGCUCUUCGGGCCAUCCUCUGCCUGGAAUGAUGCAGGCAAUCCCUACUUCAAAUGGUGAGCAGAGAACAGGGGCUCAGUCUGUGAAUCCUGGAAAUUUGCCAGUAAUGUUUGGCUAUUCACCUGUUCAGCUUCCGACAUUGGAUAAGGAUAAUUCAUGGGGUUUGCUCUCUCAUCUUCAGCAGUUCCACCCUUCCUGUGCUGGCAGAGGUCCAUCAAACUCAGAUAAGCAAAAUGAUCGAUUGAAGAUUGCUCCUGGUAUUCUUCACUAGUUUAUACCUUAAAUUUCUUUUAAAGCAUGAAUAAUAAACGGUAAAAUGUCUGAUAGAUGUAAAUGUCAGUGAAAAUAUGCCUCCUUUUCACAAGUGAAUACACUCUUCCACAACUAUCUUUAUCACCUUGCAGAGUUUCCUUGAAGACUAGAGAACUCAGACAUGUCUAGGAAGAGUAUGCAUCUUAAUUUUAACUAGUCAAAAGUUUCAUCUUUACGGUAGAACAAUGUCUAUGAUACUUUAAACAUAGCAUUUUUUUUUUCCAAAAAAAACAUUGCAGUUAUUCUAAUAUACUUUUUUUUUUCCUUUUUGUAACUGGAAGCUGAUUCUAAUAGUUUUUUUUCUCAUGUUUAUGCUCUGAUAUGUUAUUACAGAUUUUGGACUAUAAUGUUGUUGCAGAUUCUGGAUAUUUUACUGAUACAUUGGAUUAUUUAUAUAUUUUUUUCCAUUUUGCAGUAUGAUCUUAUGAUUAUAGAUCAGCGGCUUAUGAUUCAAAAUCAAUUAUUUUCUUUAACUUAGCCUUUUGCAUCUUGCAGCCAUGCAAAUAAUUUCACGAAAUUCAUCUGAAGCUACACUGUGUGAUGGGAGGACAUUAGAACGGGUCAAAGGUGAUAGCAAACAGCACAUGACAGAAGAAGACUCCACUUCUCAGAAUGAAGAUGAUGUAAAAGGAGGCAGCAUGAACCUUAGGGCAAAAGAUGCAUCUGGGCCAUCAACAUCAGAAGGCUUAUCCUUUGAUUUUCCUGCCAUAAAGUCAGGUAUUGCAUCAGAUGUGAAAUUUGGGGGGGGUUGUGGUUCCUAUCCAGAUUUACCCUGGGUUUCCACCACAGGUUCUGGUCCAAAUGGCAGAACAAUUUCUGGUGUAACUUACAGAUACGGUGCAAACCAAUUUAGAAUUGUUUGCGCUUGCCAUGGUUCCCACUUGUCCCCUGAGGAAUUUAUCAGGCACGCAAGUGAAGAGAAUAUUAAUCCAGACAAUGGCAGUGGUUUAGCCUCAUUUCCAAGUACCAAUCCUGCUGCCUCUGCUCAGAGCUGAUAGUUAUCGUCUUUUCCAGCAGGAGCAAUAGAUAUCGCCAUAUGUUCAAGCAAAACCAGGUUUUGACCUUAUUUACCAUAAGACGCCUGAUAGUUUUUGCUGUUCUGUUUGCUUAUUUAUUUGCUUUUACCGACUUAGUUGCUGUAAUCAAAUGUUGCAGGAGUAUGUAAUAAUGUUUUAGCAUCCCUAAAUUUGUUUCGUAUAUAUUAAUGUCAAAGCAGUUCAAUCUAAAAUUCCAACAACCUCAUUUCUUUUUGUAUAAAUGUGAUCAUGCCUGCAUAGUUGAUGAUUUAUGUGGGUUCAUUCAAUGAUAGUUAUGGAGUACAUCAUGUCACGGCACUUGUGCUUUAUCACAAAGA
rnacentral:misc_RNA from 1 species